AUGUGCGAGCCCAUUGCCGUCCGGCCCUUUCUCACAUCUCCAUUUCUCGGUGGAGGGGUCAAGAAGUCUAUCCCGGAGGAGGAAUCCAGAGAAGCGAGGCGUUGUAUAUAUCACCGCUGCACAUUCGAGAGGAGAGGCAGAGGAAGGAGGAGGAAGGAGGAAGAAGAGGGUUUUGCUACGUGGCAUGGAAUUCAUGGCAUAGUUGGUUCUUUCUUCUUCCUCUUCCUACCCCUGCCUCUUGCUCUUCCUUCUUCGCAAGCACCAGUCUCUCCGCCCUCGCAGCCAGCCGCUGCCGAGAGGGGGCCGGGAGAUCGCCACCGCCGGCUGCUCUCUGCCACGCCGCUUCGACCAGAGACAGGUGAGAUGGAAGGUUUCGAGUUCUUCCAGAUCAUACUUGACAACUCCUCGAGCAGGCUGAGGCUGCCUGACAAGUUUACCAGGGUGCUGCUAGACGGCGGCAAGCCCCAGGAAGUGAAGCUACAGGAGGCCGGCCAUGGGCGUCGCUUCUGGGACGUGAAGGUGGUGCUGGACGCCGACGGCCACAUGUACCUAGGGCGCGGCUGGGAGCAGUUCGCCCGUGCGCACGACCUGCGGCUCGGCUACUUCCUCGUCUUCAGCUUCGACGGCGACGCCGUGCUCACCGUGAAGGUGUUCGACGUGAGCAUGUGCCGCAGGCACUACCAGCACGACGGUGACACCAGCAGUGGGAGCAGCAGCGACGGUGACAGUGGGAGCAGCAACGCCAGCGACGGCGGCAGUGGUGGCAACAACUGGAGCCUGGCGGAGAUGGACGUCGAGGACGGGCCGACGGGGCAGUUCAGCGCCAUGCUGAGGAAAUGCAACCUGGGCAUGAAGCAGGAACAGUACCUGAACGUGCCGGUGGAUUUCCAGCUCGCGCACGGGUACGCGGAGAGGAGCAAGGUGGAGCUGCGGAUGCGCGGCAAGUCGUGGCUCGUGCACCUCAAGCACAACCCCAAGACGGGUGGCAGGCCGCGGGCGUCUUUCAGGUACGGAUGGCACCAGUUCUGCGUCGACAACGCCCUCGGCGAGGGCGACACCUGCUUCUUCCGAGCGCUCCGCCAAGGCAGCGCCGGCGGCGGCGGCGAGGACCACCUACUCAAGGUGGAAGUGAGGAGGCGCGACGGCAGCUUCCUGGUCUGA
rnacentral:rRNA from 1 species